rnacentral:rRNA from 1 species
CAGCCGCCGCGGUAAUACGUAGGGUGCGAGCGUUAAUCGGAAUUACUGGGCGUAAAGCGUGCGCAGGCGGUCGUGUAAGACAGGUGUGAAAUCCCCGGGCUUAACCUGGGAACUGCGCUUGUGACUGCACAGCUAGAGUAUGGCAGAGGGGGGUGGAAUUCCACGUGUAGCAGUGAAAUGCGUAGAGAUGUGGAGGAACACCGAUGGCGAAGGCAGCCCCCUGGGCCAAUACUGACGCUCAUGCACGAAAGCGUGGGGAGCAAACAGGAUUAGAUACCCCCGUAGUCCCUGUCUCUUAUAC